UUCUCACCUCUCUAAACCCUUCUCUCGCCCCACCCCUUCCCGCCACUUCUUCACUUUGGUGUAUAAAUUGGAAUUUGUGUUAUUCUCGUUUCUUUCACUGUCUGGAUCCUGAAUAUAUAUAUAUAAAUGUGUGUGUAUAUCUUUAAUUUACUCUUUAUUCAAAAUUGGUCAUGUGUUUUUGUUUAUGUUUUUGGUUUGUUUUUUAUGUUGUAUUUGUGGCCCUUGUGGUUAUUCCUCUUAGUGUUUUUUUUGUGCGUGUGUGUAAUUUCUGUCUUCUGUCUGAAAAAGUGCUUUUUUUUCAAAUUGUCCCCGGACCACUGCUUCUCUGUACACGUUUAUCUCGGAGCAUUAUUCUGGGAGAGUAAGCUUAUUCCGUACAGCAAAACAACAACAACAACAAAUAAGCUAAAUUAAUACAAGAAACGGCAACAAAAAGAAAGGAAACUGAAAAACUCCCACAUUUUACAAAUUGGUAAACGUUUGAAUUGCAAAUGCACAAUGUGCACCAAUGCAGAAAAACUCAUAGGGUAAUUGAGGCAAGGAAACAAAAAUGGCAACCCAUUAGCUGUAUGAGGACAGUGUUGGCACUUGCCAGACUUUGGUAGCGCCAUAUCAAUGGCCAUGUAAAAUACGAGAGGUUUUUCUGCCGCACUCUUUAUUAAACGCAAACUAACUCUUACUAAAAGAAAGCAAAUGGUCGUCUCUUUUAAAGGUAAAUGGGAAGGUGAAGAUAAGAAAACAUGUUGACCACUAGAAUUCAUGUCACUGAUAUAUAUAUAUAAAUAUAUAAAACUAAUUUUUAGAGCUAUGACUAUCUCUUUACAUCGUAUAAGAAAAACAAAUACAACAAAAAAACACAACACUGCCUAUUUAGUUUUUUUAAAAAAAGUCAUUUUUAUCAAAUGAUUCAAAAUUUAUAUCGGGUUGUCAGAUAAAUUCAUUGGUUCUUCGUUUCUUUUUCUGUAUUUGGUCCUCCAUCAUCAUUUGUUUGAAAAGAGGUAAAAUUUAUUCAAAUUACAAAACUGACAAGCGAAAAUUGUAAGGGAAUGGCUACAAAAAACCUAUAAUAUAUAUGUGUGUGUAUAUAUGUAUGUAUGUAUAUAUAUAUAUAUAUAUAUAUAUAUAUAUAUAUAUAUUUCUAUUUUGGCAGAAGUAAGGCAGCAAGCUAGUAGAAUUGUUACCAUUCCAAACGAACUGCUUAGCAACAUUUCAUGUCUUUACAUUCUGAGUUCAAAAUUCCGCUGAGGUCGACUUUGCCUUUUAUCCUUUCAGGAUCGAUAAAACAAGUACCAGUUAUGUACUGGGGUCGAUGUAAUCAACUUGUCCCCUUCCCCCAAAUUGCUGGCCUUGUGCAAAAGUUUGAUGCCAAUAUUUAACGUAAGUGACACAGGGACUCAGCGUUGGAGAGUCUUGUGCUUCGGCCAUUGAGUUGCUCUGUUAUUUCUGCCAAGUAUUAAGAUGUAUAUAUAAGUAUAUGUAUAUAUAUAUAUAUACAUGUAUACACACACACAUGAACACAUAAAAAUAUUUUUGUGUUAAUUGAAAUAAUAUUGGAAAAGGUUGAAAUAAAAAUGGCUGGUGGGGGUAGGGGUGAAAAAAAAAUGGAAAAUGAAUGAAUUCAUCUGACAGCCCAAUAUUAUAAGCGAAAAUUCUAAGCUAUUAAAUAAUGCCUUCAUUGCUGUCAUUCCAUCUUGGCUUACAGAGAACAUAACUGAAUUCCUGCAAGCUUUCUUUCAUUCCUCAGAAAUAUUCCACAUACAACAAGGCUUCCACCAAGUUUUGAUAACAACAACAACAAUACUUUAAUUUCCGAAUUGCUUUAACAGUUAAUUAAUUAGCUAAUUAUGGAGCUUGCUUGCUUCCAUAUUCUCUCACCAACUUUUAAUUAUUUAUUUUUUUAAAUUUUUUUACAUUUUCCAGUUCCCAUGUCGCCUCUCUAAAUGCUGCCCCCAUUUCUCUCUCUCUCUCUCUGCGUCCCCACCACCCCUUUCAUUUUUAGGGUUCAUCAUUAUUUCAUUAAAAGGCCUGUCAAGUUGUUUACUCUUGUAUUCAUUUCUGUGAUCAUGUAACUUUCUUAUUCAUUAUUAUUAUUAUUUUUUUUUUUUCAUAUUCCCUCUAUUGUAACGGAUAUUUUGUAAUGAGAUAUCACAACAAAUAAAUAACUUGGAAAAAAAAACCAAAAACAAACAAA